GCCUCCAGCCAUAUCACCCUGAGCGUGCCCAGUCCCAUCUGAUCUCCAAAGCUAAGCAGGGUGGGGCUUGGUUAGCACUUGGAUGGGAGAAAUAGUCUACAGGUC
rnacentral:rRNA from 1 species